CUUGUGCUGCUUGUAUGGAUGCAACAGAGUGCAGUACAAUGUCCUGGAGCUCUAACAGCCUGAGAAAGGUGAAAUGAAGUGCAAAGAUUGAGCCAGCCAUAGAUUUUCCUAUUAAUUCGCUGAGCAGAAGGUGUCUGCAGUCUGCACCUUCAUACUGCUGGUAGGAGGGAUACUGAAGAUGCUGAUGCCUCAAUAUACUGCUGCUUGCAGAGAUUUAUCUUGCCCACACAGAUGAUUUUUCUUUCUCAUCCUGUUGUCAAGAACUGCAGAGUAUCAACAAGAUUCCUCAUUAUGCCUUUUGAAAGGAUGGCUGUAUUCAAAGAUGAAGGAGAAGAAAGGCAAAGUCUGAUUUCUGGACUUAAAAGAGCUCUCAUAAAAGGCAGAUAUUUAGAUCAGACUGAAAUGGCCUGAAACCAUCUUUAUUAUUCUGGCAUUCAAGCAGUCAGCUUGCCAGCUUGAAAUUCCACACAUCUUAUAGAUGAAACAUAUUCUUUGGGUGUGCUCAGUGGCUGCAUGACUCCUCAUCAAGUAAAGUAUUUUGCAGUCAGUGGGUUGGAUCCAUACACUGGAACAAACUGGAUGUAAGAUUACUUUGUACUGGUCAUUUCUUCCAAGCCACUAUAAAGGACUGCUGACAGCUAUAAUCCUUGCAUUGCCCACAUUAUGCAACAAUAAGCCAGCAUGUAUCUGAGAAGCUGUUUAGAUAGAAAUUAUUCUCUCCAUGGAGAAUUGCCAGACUCUUCUAUUUGUGUGAGCAACCAAUAAAUGGCUAAUGACACUUACCACUUUCCCAAGAAUUUUCACCCAGUUUGCGCUGUAUUUCACUUUCACUACAGUCCCAUGUGGAAUGGAGCACACAGAUAAUGUGUAGAAUAGCAACUUAGAUGAAUCUGGUCUCACAAAGAUGAACAGAAGAGGGAAUACAUGUACAAUUUGAAAUAACUGUACAGAAAAAGAAGCUCCUAACUUCUAGAAAUAAAAUUAUGCACAGAAAGAAAUAGACACCAAAUAAUGGAAUUAGACAAAUAAGCAGAACUGGUAGGUAAGAAGAAGGAAUCCCU